rnacentral:rRNA from 1 species
UACAGAGGGUGCAAGCGUUGUUCGGAAUUAUUGGGCGUAAAGCGCGUGUAGACGGCUUUGCAAGUCGGGUGUGAAAGCCCUCGGCUCAACCGAGGAAGUGCGCCCGAAACUGCAGAGCUUGAGUACCGGAGAGGAUGGCGGAAUUCCCGGUGUAGAGGUGAAAUUCGUAGAUAUCGGGAGGAACACCAGUGGCGAAGGCGGCGACCUGGGCCUGAACUGACACUGAGACACGAAAGCGUGGGGAGCAAACAGG